GGUUAAGCGAAUAAGCGUACACGGUGGAUGCCUAGGCAAUCAGAGGCGAUGAAGGACGUGCUAAUCUGCGAUAAGCGUCGGUAAGGUGAUAUGAACCGUUAUACCCGACGAUUUCCGAAUGGGGAAACCCAAUAUCCAAUGGAUAUUAUCAUGACGUGAAUACAUAGCGUCAUGAAGCGAACCGGGAGAACUGAAACAUCUCAGUACCCCGAGGAAAAGAAAUCAACCGAGAUUCCCCUAGUAGCGGCGAGCGAACGGGGAACAGCCCAGAGUCUUAAUCAAU
rnacentral:rRNA from 1 species